rnacentral:tRNA from 1 species
GGGGACGUGUCCCCCUGAGGAGGGCGCGUAGCGCCCGACGGUCGGGGGUUCAAAUCCCCUCGUCUCCACCA